CGAAAGCCUGACGGAGCAACGCCGCGUGAGGGAUGAAGGCCUCUGGGCUGUAAACCUCUUUUAUCAAGGAAGAAGAUCUGACGGUACUUGAUGAAUAAGCCACGGCUAAUUCCGUGCCAGCAGCCGCGGUAAUACGGGAGUGGCAAGCGUUAUCCGGAAUUAUUGGGCGUAAAGCGUCCGCAGGCGGUCUUUUAAGUCUGUCGUUAUAGCGUGGAGCUUAACUCCAUUUAAGCGAUGGAAACUGCAAGACUAGAGUGUGGUAGGGGCAGAGGGAAUUCCCGGUGUAGCGGUGAAAUGCGUAGAUAUCGGGAAGAACACCAGUGGCGAAGGCGCUCUGCUGGGCCAUAACUGACGCUCAUGGACGAAAGCCAGGGGAGCG
rnacentral:rRNA from 1 species